CUGGGAUCUGCCAAAUCUCACUGAAGCUGGACAUCAUUUAUCGAGAUGAAGGCAUGCUGGAGUGGAAAAGAUGACAGUCAGAAGUGGAGAUACACUGCAGUCUGUGGCGUUCUUCCAGCAUGGGACAACUGCCCCUCCUCGUCAUCCCAGCCUGUCCUUCUCAAAGACCCCGUACAGAGCCACUGCAGCACUCUAGUUGUGUGAGUGUGAUUUGCCCAUUACUUUGAGAUUUCUAAAAAUCCAGGCUCCAUCCACUGAAGAAUUCAAAGGAUCACUGAUGGAGGAAUGAUGGCAGUAGAAUCACCUGCAUGCAUCAGCUGCAUGGAAACACCCAGGUGUGUAUAGGGAUAUCAAACCAAGUCCUAUGCACGUUUGAUCUCUGGGAGAAGAUCCCUGCUCAGCCAAGUUGGCCUUCUGCCCCACCUGCAUGACUUUGGACGUUAUGGAAUUGCUCGGUAAGAAGUGGUACUUUAAAAGUGACCAGCACUGGUGGACUCCAAUGCCUUCAGAAGCAGUUUUCCUAGGGAACUUACCAAAUAGUUCCCCGAGCAGCAUGAAGUCUGAUUUCCCCAUAUCCAAUGUUACUGUGGCUCUUUUUCUCCUAUCACCAAGGACUAUAUGUUCACCAAUCUCAUGGUCACUAUAGCCAAGACAGCCUCCAUGCACCAUUUCACCCACGAGACCUUCUCUGCUUACAAGCAACAAAUCUAUGAGGCACCUUUCCUAGUUGACUCCCUUGGUAUCUGUAGCAAGAAGUACUACCAAAGACAUAAAAAUAUUUGUCUCUCUGGAAGAUCUCAGUCUUAUCCAUGAAAUCUCCCUCUUUUUUCUACUGGUCUGAAGCACACACUGAUAUUGAACAUUUCAGGAACUCCUCCAACCUUUGUGAAACAGUUGAAUUUACUAUGUGCAGAUUAUAAAUGACAUCAAUUUUGAAGGGUCAAGGUAUGAAAUAUGAUGUUGUUGCAAUACAUUUACUGUACCCACUAACUCUCACCAUCUGUACAUCACAGACAUCACUGAAAUAGCACAUUUUCUCUGAAAAAAAAGAAGAAAGAUCUUCAAAAUACAGUAUUUUCUCAGAAUCUUGCAAGCUUUAGAAGUUUAUUCUCUUUCCAAGGAACAGUUACAAAAGAGGUAAGAUUUAAGGCCACAUCAGAGCUGGGUAAAUAACUUUUUGUGUAUAUGAACUCUGAGGGCACUGAAACUUGGGAACUUGGGGUAAUAUCCACUCAUAAAUUCAACCAGAAACAGAGAGUGGUGCAAAUAUAAAAAGCCACAAUAUUUAAGUUCCGUGUUGUCAUUUUCAAUGAAAUUUCUUAAUUUGAAAGCACUGGAUAUUUUGCUACGAUAUCUUUUAAACAAAACAUUUGAUAUCAUGUUUUUAAAUACCACUCUUAACUACUGCUUGUUUAUUGUAAUAAAUUAAUCAAAAAGUCUUUGAAAGGUUCCAAUAUGUACUUCCCCAAAUCCUCGGACUGUAUUUUUUCUCCUCUAAACAAAAAUGAUUGUUCUUCAGAUGACUUUCUCAUGGUGUGUAAUAUGCCGGGCUGCUGCUUGCACUACAGUUGGAU
ensembl:lncRNA